rnacentral:tRNA from 2 species
GCGCCCUUAGCUCAGCCGGAUAGAGCAUCGGACUUCUAAUCCGACGGUCGCAGGUUCGAAUCCUGCAGGGCGCGC